AGCCGUGGAGCACGCAGAAUACUGCCUUGAACCAGAUAGCCCGGGACUAGCUACGCACGUGACGCGAUGGAAUAAAUUAUUUUUCAUCGGUGCCACGCGAAAUUGUAAUCGUGGAGUAUAGCCAAAUACUCGCGCGAUUGCUAUCUUGUAUUUCACCGAUCGUUCCAACAUCGAUAGAUUAACUCCGAUCGAUAUAUUUCAUAUCAAUUCCCCUUGUUCUCUCGUACUAGACAAAGAUAAUGUAUUUUUCAAAUUUUUUGCCGUAUUAAACGUAGCUUUUCAUAACUUCUUUACAUUGAAUAUUUCGAGAUCGAACGUAAAGUCGUAAUUUUAAAAUGCUUGAUCGAUUUAAUUCGUGAAAUGAAACGAUGAAUUUUUCUUUCCUUAUUAACUUGCAAUUUCUAUUAUAAAAAAAUAUAUACACGUUCGGAUAUUAAUUAUCUGUCCGUUAUUUUUCCUCCUUUUUUACGACCGACAAUUAAAUUCUUCCUUUCCCUUUCCCCCUUUUCUCGUGAAAAAAAAUAUUAUAGCGAUAUUAUUGAAAAAAGAGAGAAAAUACGAUACGCUCUACGUUUUCGUAGAGAAUAAAUUCGAUAUCGAGGAGAGAUCGGUGCACGCAGCAUCGUUGCCCGGCCUCGUAAACGGACGACGUCGCGUCGUCGUGUUGGCGGUAGCCUCGGUACAGCGAACCGUAAUCGAGAAUUGCUCGUUGACCCUCGACUUUGUAGUUUCUGCUCGCUCGCUGUCCACGACGAGACACGACGAGAAAUCACAGCGAUCCGGGAAAGGAGCCGGAUCGCGAAAAAUCAGUGGGGAACCGCACUAACGGGGUCGAGUUAUCGGCAUUCCGGAUACAACCGGACCAGGGAGAACUUUGCGGCUGACAUCGAAGCCCGUGUUAUGACCAAAGUUUAUCGGCAAACGCUUGACCUCAUGCUAUUUUUCAAACGAUAACCGGGCAUCACCGGAUCUACCAACUUGCGACGAGUGAGGAACUUGAAGAACGAGCGAAACUGGAAUACUUGGAACAACAUUGAUGAUGAUUUUUUUAUCGCGCAUUGUAUAUUAUUGGCAAUUCUGUGUCACGAUUAUAACUUGGACAACACGGCGAGGGAGGUCGGUGCUCUUACGGAAUAAGGGAUAACUUGGUGUGUUCAUCGUUUCUAUGCCGUUGCAAUUAUUAUUUGGGUCAUCGGUAAUCAUCGUUUCAUAACCGUUUUCCCCGUACGUUUAACGCAUCAACCAUUUUUUUUUUCACUCCAUUUUAAUGAUUUCUUGGAUAAAAAUCAUCAUAUCGAAAUAUAACGAUCGAGAAACGAAUAUAGCUUCGCGUACUUCGCGUAUAUCAGCACAGGUUGAUUUCCUUUGAAACAUAACGAAUCAAACGACACGUGUAUGUAUUUACUCCGCGCGGAAUUUCGAAAGCCACGAACGGCGCGUGACUCGAAUUAUUUCGGCUAUCGCGUGUAAAUCGAGCGACAAAACGGGAAAAUUACUAAAGGAAGAACGCUCCGCGUUUCUCCACGUGGAAGAGACAGAAUGUAAGGAGAGAAAAAAAUGUAAUUAUUAAACGAUUACUAUUAACUGUAAUGAUAUAUCGAUUAAAUCACGAUUAAUCCUUGAUUACUCCUUUCCAACUUUCUAAGUUAUCAUAUAAUAUAAAAUAAAAUAAAUAUAUUCGUUACUGUAUUUAUCGACAUAUGUAUAUCUAUUCGAAAGAAACAUGAGUAAUGAAAAGUAAAAAAAAAAAAAAUAGUUUUGACAUUGUACAGGUUUUAAAUUAAAAACUGGAACGCUUUAUCUUUCAUGAAACGUCUCAAGUUACACGUUUUAGUCUUCGAACGUGUAAAUUAUUAACAGCUAAUCGAUUUUACGAGCUUUAGAAAGCUUUAAAAGCCCAAGUGUUCCCAAUGCGUCGGCAAAACUGUGCCAAAAAAUCACAUCCUCGUACAUUCCAAGUUGACAAUUACGUUUUUUCAAUCGUUCAUCCUUAUCGAUCAAUGACGAGCGUUAUUUAAGAGACAAAGUAAAAGCGAGAAAAAAAAGAAAAAAAAAAAAAAAAGAAAAUUAAUAUACUGAUCAAAUAUUGAUUUUUUAUGCACAAAAGAAUACUGGUAUUCCAGACGGCAGAAAAACUCAAAGUAAACUUCAGACUCUUUCCGUUAUAUAGAAAAAAAAAAAAUACUUAUAAAAAAAAACAUACAUCAAUGGUAAAAAAAAAUAUAUAUAUUCGCGAUAAACGUUUAAUACGUUAAUAGUAUGCAAAUCGUUCGAGAUAUGUUAUAUUUCUCUUAUUAAAAAAAAAAAAAAAAAAGAAAAAA